GUUAGAGGCAGGUAGCCUAGUGGUUAGAGUGUUGGACCAGUAACCAGCAGGUAGCCUGGUGGUUAGAGGCAGGUAGCCUAGUGGUUAGAGAGGCAGGUAGCCUAGUGUUUAGAGGAGGCAGGUAGCCUAGUGUUUAGAGGAGGCAGGUAGCCUAGUGGUUAGAGGAGGCAGGUAGCCUAGUGGUUAGAGGAGGCAGGUAGCCUAGUGGUUAGAGGCAGGUAGCCUAGUGGUUAGAGGAGGCAGGUAGCCUAGUGGUUAGAGGAGGCAGGUAGCCUAGUGGUUAGAGGAGGCAGGUAGCCUAGUGGUUAGAGGAGGCAGGUAGCCUAGUGGUUAGAGGCAGGUAGCCUAGUGGUUAGAGGCAGGUAGCCUAGUGGUUAGAGGAGGCAGGUAGCCUAGUGGUUAGAGGAGGCAGGUAGCCUAGUGGUUAGAGGAGGCAGGUAGCCUAGUGGUUAGAGGAGGCAGGUAGCCUAGUGGUUAGAGGCAGGUAGCCUAGUGGUUAGAGGAGGCAGGUAGCCUAGUGGUUAGAGGAGGCAGGUAGCCUAGUGGUUAGAGGAGGCAGGUAGCCUAAUGGU